AUUGAACGCUGGCGGCAGGCUUAACACAUGCAAGUCGAGCGGGGAAGGGUAGCUUGCUACCUAACCUAGCGGCGGACGGGUGAGUAAUGCUUAGGAAUCUGCCAUUUAGUGGGGGACAACAUUCCGAAAGGAAUGCUAAUACCGCAUACGUCCUACGGGAGAAAGCAGGGGAUCUUCGGACCUUGCGCUAAAUGAUGAGCCUAAGUCGGAUUAGCUAGUUGGUGGGGUAAAGGCCUACCAAGGCGACGAUCUGUAGCGGGUCUGAGAGGAUGAUCCGCCACACCGGGACUGAGACACGGCCCAGACUCCUACGGGAGGCAGCAGUGGGGAAUAUUGGACAAUGGGCGGAAGCCUGAUCCAGCCAUGCCGCGUGUGUGAAGAAGGCCUUAUGGUUGUAAAGCACUUUAAGCGAGGAGGAGGCUACUUAGAUUAAUACUCUAGGAUAGUGGACGUUACUCGCAGAAUAAGCACCGGCUAACUCUGUGCCAGCAGCCGCCGUAAAAC
rnacentral:rRNA from 1 species